CACGUAGUUAGCCGGUGCUUCUUAUCCAGGUACCGUCACCCGAAGGCUUCUUCCCUAGCGAAGGAGGUUUACAACCCGAAGGCCGUCAUCCCUCACGCGGCGUCGCUGCAUCAGGCUUCCGCCCAUUGUGCAAUAUUCCCCACUGCUGCCUCCCGUAGGAGUCUGGGCCGUGUCUCAGUCCCAAUGUGGCCGUCCACCCUCUCAGGCCGGCUACCCGUCGUCGCCUUGGUAGGCCAUUACCCCACCAACAAGCUGAUAGGCCGCGGGCUCAUCCUCCACCGAAAAAACUUUCCACCAACCACACUAAAGAUUGGUCCUAUCCGGUAUUAGACCCAGUUUCCCAGGCUUAUCCCGAAGUGAAGGGCAGAUCACCCACGUGUUACUCACCCGUUCGCCACUCGAGUACCCUGCAAGCAGGGCCUUUCCGUCGACUUGCAUGUGUUAAGCACGCCGCCAGCGUUCGUCCUGAGCCAGGAUCGAAACUCUA
rnacentral:rRNA from 1 species